GGGGGACGGAGAAGGCUAUGUUGGCCGGGCGACGGUUGUCCCGGUUUAAGCGUGUAGGCUGGUUUUCCAGGCAAAUCCGGAAAAUCAAGGCUGAGGCGUGAUGACGAGGCACUACGGUGCUGAAGCAACAAAUGCCCUGCUUCCAGGAAAAGCCUCUAAGCAUCAGGUAACAUCAAAUCGUACCCCAAACCGACACAVGUGRUCAGG
rnacentral:rRNA from 1 species